GAUGAGAGAGGUAGAUGGAAUUCCUAAUGUAGGGGUAAUAUCCGUAGAUAUAGGGAGGAACACCGAUGGCGUAAGCAGUCUACUGGCUCAUUCUUGACACUAAGGCACGAAAGCGUGGGUAGCAAACAGGAUUAGAUACCCUGGUAGUCCACGCCGUAAACUAUGGAUGCUAGCUGUAAGGAGUAUCGACCCUCCUUGUAGCGAAGCUAACGCGUUAAGCAUCCCGCCUGUGGAGUACGGUCGCAAGACUAAAACAUAAAGGAAUUGACGGGGACCCGCACAAGCGGUGGAGCGUGUUGUUUAAUUCGAUGGUAAGCGAAGAACCUUACCCAGGUUUGACAUCCCGAGAAGGUUUCCGAAAGGAAAUUGUGCCGUAAGGAAUUCGGUGACAGGUGUUGCAUGGCCGUCGUCAGCUCGUGUCGUGAGAUGUUAGGUUAAGUCCUUCAACGAGCGCAACCCUUAUAGUUAGUUGUAUUUUUCUAGCUAGACUGCCCUGGUAACAGGGAGGAAGGGGGGGAUGAUGUCAGGUCAGUAUUACCCUUACACCUGGGGCUACAAACACGCUACAAUGGCCGGUACAAAGGGCAGCCAAGUCGCAAGACGGAGCAAAUCCCAUCAAAGCCGGUCUCAGUUCGGAUAGCAGGCUGAAACUCGCCUGCUUGAAGCUGGAAUCGCUAGUAACGGUAGGUCAGCACACUACCGUGAAUACGUUCCCGGGUCUUGUACACACCGCCCGUCAAGCCAUGAAAGUCGCCAAUACCUGACGUGCCAGCUCUGCCUGGCCCUAAGGUAGGGGAGAUGAUUGGGGUUA
rnacentral:rRNA from 1 species